GUGGGGAAUUUUGCGCAAUGGGGGAAACCCUGACGCAGCAACGCCGCGUGAGUGAUGAAGGCCUUCGGGUCGUAAAGCUCUGUCAGAGGGGAAGAAAUGCAGGGGUGCUAAUAUCAUCUUUGCUUGACGGUACCCUCAAAGGAAGCACCGGCUAACUCCGUGCCAGCAGCCGCGGUAAUACGGAGGGUGCGAGCGUUGUUCGGAAUUAUUGGGCGUAAAGCGCGUGUAGGCGGUUUGGUAAGUCUGAUGUGAAAGCCACGGGCUCAACCUUGGAAGUUCAUUGGCAACUGUCAGACUUGAAUACGGGAGAGGGUAGUGGAAUUCCUAGUGUAGGAGUGAAAUCCGUAGAUAUUAGGAGGAACACCGGUGGCGAAGGCGGCUACCUGGACCGAUAUUGACGCUGAGACGCGAAAGCGUGGGGAGCAAACAGGAUUAGAAACCCCUGUAGUCC
rnacentral:rRNA from 1 species